UUGUACAUUUAGAACUACAGAUCAGAGACAGCACAUUCAAGGAUUAGUUCCUCAAGCCCUACAUGAAGGCUGCGAGUCACCUACAGUGAACCUCUAACUGACAUGGCUGUAUACUACUGCAGGAGGUUUUUCCUAAAAGCUCCUACAGAUCUUGCUGAACUGCUGAAAAAGCACUGUUCUGCAACUAAAGUGAAUGGAAAAAUGUUAAGAAAGCCAGGACUGGACAAGACUUGUGAGUCACUACAGAGCUAUCCAAAGGGAUACAGAGGUCGUCCACUAGCUAGAACGUGGGCUGAAACAGUUACUGAUUUAUUUUCCAAGAAUCCAAAUAAGAGGCACCCUCUGGGGAGCCCAAGACAAGAGACUUUUCCAUUAUUGCAGUUACAAAGAUGACUACAGUUAAGAAAUUCUGGCAAAUGUUAGUGCCUACAGUACUGUCUGCUUGCUUCAGAUGCCUAUCUUAUCACUGACUAUUGUUUGAUGAAUGUUCUGACUCAGAUGAGGACACCAUGCUCAGCAACCCUGGGGAAGGAGGAAGAUCUCUGCUCCCUGAGGAAAAAGUGGGGAACAAGAGAGUCAUUAGCCCUCACCUUUGGAAAGCUGAGUCCCGCUUAGCCAUUAAUUGCACACAAGAAGAAAGACUGUGUGUGUGUGAAAAUCCCAGACAACAGCACAGUGCCCAUAAAGUGGCAUUCUUCUGUCCGACUUCCACUGGUGAUUAGAUUUAUGAUCUGAGAGACAAGUUGUUCACUUGCAUGAAAGUCUAAAGGAUUUUUUUUUUUUUUAACGUGAUGCAAAUCUGUAAAAUAGCUGGAAAGUUCUUAAACUUCAAUAGGAUUUGGAUCAGUGUCGUUGAGUUAGAGGAUGACAAAUUAAAUCGGUCACUGCAUUUAUUUCCCUGGAUAAAGUACACAAAACCCCCCACACAAAUUAGAGCUCUUCAGGUUUUUUUAGUAAAUCAAGACAAAAGUCCUUACAGAAAGACAAUUCCUUUUAGUGAUCAAAGUAUUAUCUCAUCUCUCAAAGCAUUAUUAAAAUACCAUUCCCAUAAUGUCAGCUGGUCUUACUACCACCAAGCAGGAAAAUUUGAGUAAAUGGAGUAUUUAAUUUGCAGUCUUACUACACAGCUAGAAAUACACUAACAGGUUGUAAUUCUUCAAGGAUAAUAUAUGCUGUGGCUACUUUUUGGCUUCUACAUAUUUCUAAACUAGACCAGGAUUUCCAUUUUUUAACCAAGUCAUUACAGCUUUAACAUAUUUUAUAUUGCUGCUGUCAGAAUAUACUUAAACAACUGAUGACUUUAUUUUAUUUUGUGGAAGGGCUUGUAAGUAUCAGUCAAAGAUUAUGUCAUAACAGCAUUAUGGUGAGAACAGGAAAUAGUACGAGAGAGUGUGUGCAACAGGUGAGAGUGCAAAUAAGCGACAGAACCACAAGGUAAUAAGCAGAUAGAGUAAUAAGCAAUACAAAGUCAGAGUUAAUCCCCUGGCUAAAUAUUGUUGGGUAUUUGGAGGUAUCUCUGUGUUGACAUGAACUAUAAAGAUGGCCAGCAGGUGAGGUUUUGGGAUGGGGUUUUUGUUCAUUUUGGGGGGUUCCAGGUUUUUUUUGUUGUUAUGUUUUGAUUGUUUUUGAAGCAGAAAGCUUUCAUGAGUGACAGGCUUUGGGACAAGAAGCUAACUUGCUGCAAAGUGGUCAAGUUGUUCAUAAAUGGUAGCAAAGAAAUGUGGGUGAGCUAGAAAUACAUUAGUUAACAAAGAAGUAAGGGACUGGAUCAUCAGGCAUAUUUAAAAUAGAUAUAAUAUUUCAUUAGUAAUCCUAAAUGUAAAGUUUAGAGCUUAUCGUAACUUUCCUUUCAUUAAUAAAACUUCGCUGAAACAAAAUUUCUGUUCAGUCGAAGCAUCUAAACUACAAGUUGAACAGGGAAAUGAACAGCAUUUAAAAAGCCUUCUACUUUAAAGUAAGCAGAAAGCACUAGAAACAUGAAAUGGAAAAAUGCAAUCCUGUACAAGUGUAAAUGAAUAAAAAACUCCAGGUUCUCUAGGACAACCUCUGAAAUGAGAUAAUGGUAGUAAACUCUCACUACAAAGACAUUUGCAAGGUCAUACAUCUACUUCCACUCUUGGAGAACUGAUAUAAAAAAUGCUAAUUCCUGACAGAAAUAUGAAUGCUUAUAUUUAUUUUUAAUAGAGUUACUAUACAUUUGCUGAUACUUUUAAGGAAAAAAAGUCGUCAGCUA